GACAUCUGGUCCCUGAUGCUGUUGCCUGUCCAUCAUUGAGUGGUGUUUGAUCUCCAUGGGUCAGCUGUGAUUUCCUUCCAUUCCUAACUAUGGGGAGUCCUUGUCCUCUCGCUCAGUCUCUGGACCAUGUCUACUCCCCUAUCUCAUUUGUGGCCAUCAUCUGGGGCUGGACGAGUAGAGGACAGGCAGGGCAUGAGAUUCCUUCUGUGGAUCGUACUGUUUUUGAAGUAUUGGAAACUCCAACCAAAGUCAGGAGAAUCUUUAUCAUGACUGGGAUGCUUUUAUUUAUUUUGUAUACCUCCAAAUAUUAUCUUAUGUGUCUGGGCCUAUGACACUGAAUCUCGAGACUCAAAGAUCUUUUUCUUUGUUAUGAUGACCUGUCUCUUCAGUCCUUCCAUGAGAAAAUUAAGACAGGCUGCUCAGCUGCCCAAGAUGCUGUCUUCUGACGGACCAGUUGGCACCACCCAGAUCAGUAAACUGGCUCACUGGGUCUUGUGGCUCCUGACCAGGAACCGAUUCAGUCCAGGAGGACAAGCUCUGACUCCCUAUGAUUUCAUCCCUAACUAAUCAGCUUUUCCCAUUUCCUAGCCCCCUGCCCACGAAACCAUCCUUGAAAAACCCUAGCCUCUGAAUUUUCAGGGAGGUUGAUUUAAGUAAUAAUAAACUACUGUCCUUCCA